UGAGAUGCUGAAGAAGGGGUGGGAUG
rnacentral:piRNA from 3 species